rnacentral:rRNA from 1 species
UUAAGUAAGGAAGGGCGUACGGCGAAUGCCUUGCCACUCGAAACUGAAGAAGGACGCGCCAAACUGCGAAAAGCUCCGUGAAGCUGUAAGGAAGCGAAGAAGCGGAGGUGUCCGAAUGGGGGAACCCGGCAGCAGACAUGAGCUGUCAUCUGCAGGUGAAUACAUGGCCUGCAAGAGAGGUACCCGGCGAACUGAAACAUCUAAGUAGCCGGAGGAAAAGAAAACAACAGUGAUUCCCUGAGUAGCGGCGAGCGAAAGGGGAGAAGCCCAAACCGGUUUAAGGACCGGGGUUGAAGGACCAUGAUAUGGCAAGAACGAGGAUAGGAGAACGGGAUCGAAAGCCCGGCCGAAGAAGGUGAAAGCCCUGUAACCGAAAUCCAAGGGAAGCCUAAUGGGAUCCUGAGUACGGCGAGACACGAGAAAUCUUGUCGGAAGCAGGCGGGACCAUCCGCCAAGGCUAAAUAUAAACGAGUGAGCGAUAGUGAACCAGUACCGUGAGGGAAAGGUGAAAAGAACCGCGGGAGCGGAGUGAAAGAGAACCUGAAACCGUAUGCCUACAAGAAGUCAGAGCCCGUUAAGGGGUGAUGGCGUGCCUUUUGUAGAAUGAACCGGCGAGUUGCGACAGACUGCGAGGUUAAGGAGGAAAGACCGGAGCCGAAGCGAAAGCGAGUCUUAAGAGGGCGAAAGUAGGAUGUUGCAGACCCGAAACCGGGUGAUCUAGCCAUGAGCAGGUUGAAGUUGAGGUGAAACUCAAUGGAGGACCGAACCGACUACCGUUGAAAAGUUAGCGGAUGACUUGUGGCUAGGGGAGAAAUUCCAAUCGAACCCGGAGAUAGCUGGUUCUCCCCGAAAUAGCUUUAGGGCUAGCGUCGGAAAGAACCUUAGUGAAGGUAGAGCACUGAAUGUGUGAUGGCCCCAUCCCGGGGUACUGAAUACAAUCAAACUGCGAAUGUCAUUAAGGAUGUCCGGCAGUCAGACUGUGAGUGAUAAGGUCCAUGGUCAAGAGGGAAACAGCCCAGACCGCCAGUUAAGGUCCCAAAAUACAGGCUAAGUGGAAAAGGAUGUGGGGAUGCCCAGACAACUAGGAGGUUGGCUCAGAAGCAGCCAUCCUUUAAAGAGUGCGUAACAGCUCACUAGUCGAGUGACCCUGCGCCGAAAAUGUACCGGGGCUAAGCCUGAUACCGAAACUGCGGAUUGUAGGAAACUAUAGUGGUAGGGGAGCGUUGUAUACGAGCAGAAGCCGUACCGUGAGGAGCGGUGGAUUGUAUAGAAGUGAGAAUGCCGGUGUGAGUAGCGAGAUGUAGGUGAGAAUCCUACACACCGAAAGCCCAAGGAUUCCAGGGGAAGGUUCGUCCGCCCUGGGUAAGUCGGGACCUAACGCGAGGCCGAAAGGCGUAGUGGAUGGAAAGCAGGCGAAAGAUUCCUGCACCCGUAUAUGGAGCGAAGGAGUGACGGAGACGGAUAGUGUGACCCUCUUAAUGGAUUGAGGGCGAAGCGAAGCGGCUGGUUACCAGGCAAAUCCGGUAACUGAAAGGCUAGAGCGUGACAGGUAAGCGAAAUCUUAGGAAAGUAGCGAAGCACAUGAUGACGGCUUCCAGGAAAAGCUUCUGGCAAUGCAUAUGCGGCCCGUACCAAAACCGACACAGGUGGGCAGGGAGAGAAUCCCGAGGUGAGCGAGAGAACUGUUGCCAAGGAACUCGGCAAAAUGACUCCGUAAGUUAGCGAGAAGGAGUGCUUAAGCAAUUAAGCCGCAGUGAAGAGGCCCAAGCGACUGUUUAACUAAAACACAGCUCUCUGCGAAGUCGCAAGACGAAGUAUAGGGGGUGACACCUGCCCGGUGCUGGAAGGUUAAGAGGAUCUGUUAAGAGCGAUCUGAAGCAGUGAUCCGAAGCCCCAGUGAACGGCGGCCGUAACUAUAACGGUCCUAAGGUAGCGAAAUUCCUUGUCAGGUAAGUUCUGACCCGCACGAAUGGCGUAAUGACUUGGGCACUGUCUCAACUGCAAAUCCGGCGAAGUUGUAGUGCGAGUGAAGAUGCUCGCUACCCGCGAUUGGACGGAAAGACCCCGUAGAGCUUUACUGUAGCUUAGCAUUGAAUUCCGGUAUUGUCUGUACAGGAUAGGUGGGAGACUGGGAAACUAGGGCGUCAGCCUUAGUGGAGUCAACCUUGGGAUACCACCCUGACAGUACUGGGGUUCUAACAGGACGCCAUGAAGCUGGUGACUGGACAUUGUUAGGUGGGCAGUUUGACUGGGGCGGUCGCCUCCUAAAAAGUAACGGAGGCGCCCAAAGGUUCCCUCAGAACGGUCGGAAAUCGUUCGUAGAGUGCAAAGGCAGAAGGGAGCCUGACUGCGAGACCCACAAGUCGAGCAGGGACGAAAGUCGGGCUUAGUGAUCCGGUGGUACCUCGUGGGAGGGCCAUCGCUCAACGGAUAAAAGCUACCUCGGGGAUAACAGGCUGAUCUCCCCCAAGAGUCCACAUCGACGGGGAGGUUUGGCAC